ACGGAGGGGGCUAGCGUUGUUCGGAAUUACUGGGCGUAAAGCGCACGUAGGCGGCUUCGCAAGUCGGAUGUGAAAUCCCUCGGCUCAACCGAGGACGUGCAUACGAAACUGCGGAGCUUGAGUGCUGAAGAGGAUCGCGGAAUUCCCGGCGUAGAGGUGAAAUUCGUAGAUAUCGGGAGGAACACCAGUGGCGAAGGCGGCGAUCUGGGCAGACACUGACGCUGAGGUGCGAAAGCGUGGGGAGCAAACAGGA
rnacentral:rRNA from 1 species